UGGGCGUAAAGAGCUCGUAGGUGGUUUGUCGCGUUGUUCGUGAAAUCUCACGGCUUAACUGUGAGCGUGCGGGCGAUACGGGCAGACUUGAGUACUGCAGGGGAGACUGGAAUUCCUGGUGUAGCGGUGGAAUGCGCAGAUAUCAGGAGGAACACCGGUGGCGAAGGCGGGUCUCUGGGCAGUAACUGACGCUGAGGAGCGAAAGCGUGGGGAGCGAACAGGAUUAGAUACCCUGGUAGUCCACGCCGUAAACGGUGGGUACUAGGUGUGGGUUUCCUUCCUUGGGAUCCGUGCCGUAGCUAACGCAUUAAGGUACCCCGCCUUGUGAGUACGGCCGCAAGGCUAAAACUCAAAGAAAUUGACGGGGGCCCGCACAAGCGGCGGAGCAUGUGGAUUAAUUCGAUGCAACGCGAAGAACCUUACCUGGGUUUGACAUGCACAGGACGCCGGCAGAGAUGUCGGUUCCCUUGUGGCCUGUGUGCAGGUGGUGCAUGGCUGUCGUCAGCUCGUGUCGUGAGAUGUUGGGUUAAGUCCCGCAACGAGCGCAACCCUUGUCUCAUGUUGCCAGCGGGUAAUGCCGGGGACUCGUGAGAGACUGCCGGGGUCAACUCGGAGGAAGGUGGGGAUGACGUCAAGUCAUCAUGCCCCUUAUGUCCAGGGCUUCACACAUGCUACAAUGGCCGGUACAAAGGGCUGCGAUGCCGCGAGGUUAAGCGAAUCCUUUUAAAGCCGGUCUCAGUUCGGAUCGGGGUCUGCAACUCGACCCCGUGAAGUCGGAGUCGCUAGUAAUC
rnacentral:rRNA from 1 species